GGUUAAGCGACUAAGCGUACACGGUGGAUGCCCUGGCAGUCAGAGGCGAUGAAGGACGUGCUAAUCUGCGAUAAGCGUCGGUAAGGUGAUAUGAACCGUUAUAACCGGCGAUUUCCGAAUGGGGAAACCCAGUGUGUUUCGACACACUAUCAUUAACUGAAUCCAUAGGUUAAUGAGGCGAACCGGGGGAACUGAAACAUCUAAGUACCCCGAGGAAAAGAAAUCAACCGAGAUUCCCCCAGUAGCGGCGAGCGAACGGGGAGCAGCCCAGAGCCUGAAUCAGUGUGUGUGUUAGUGGAAGCGUCUGGAAAGGCGCGCGAUACAGGGUGACAGCCCCGUACACAAAAAUGCACAUGCUGUGAGCUCGAUGAGUAGGGCGGGACACGUGGUAUCCUGUCUGAAUAUGGGGGGACCAUCCUCCAAGGCUAAAUACUCCUGACUGACCGAUAGUGAACCAGUACCGUGAGGGAAAGGCGAAAAGAACCCCGGCGAGGGGAGUGAAAAAGAACCUGAAACCGUGUACGUACAAGCAGUGGGAGCACGCUUAGGCGUGUGACUGCGUACCUUUUGUAUAAUGGGUCAGCGACUUAUAUUCUGUAGCAAGGUUAACCGAAUAGGGGAGCCGAAGGGAAACCGAGUCUUAACUGGGCGUGAAGUUGCAGGGUAUAGACCCGAAACCCGGUGAUCUAGCCAUGGGCAGGUUGAAGGUUGGGUAACACUAACUGGAGGACCGAACCGACUAAUGUUGAAAAAUUAGCGGAUGACUUGUGGCUGGGGGUGAAAGGCCAAUCAAACCGGGAGAUAGCUGGUUCUCCCCGAAAGCUAUUUAGGUAGCGCCUCGUGAAUUCAUCUCCGGGGGUAGAGCACUGUUUCGGCAAGGGGGUCAUCCCGACUUACCAACCCGAUGCAAACUGCGAAUACCGGAGAAUGUUAUCACGGGAGACACACGGCGGGUGCUAACGUCCGUCGUGAAGAGGGAAACAACCCAGACCGCCAGCUAAGGUCCCAAAGUCAUGGUUAAGUGGGAAACGAUGUGGGAAGGCCCAGACAGCCAGGAUGUUGGCUUAGAAGCAGCCAUCAUUUAAAGAAAGCGUAAUAGCUCACUGGUCGAGUCGGCCUGCGCGGAAGAUGUAACGGGGCUAAACCAUGCACCGAAGCUGCGGCAGCGACGCUUAUGCGUUGUUGGGUAGGGGAGCGUUCUGUAAGCCUGUGAAGGUGUGCUGUGAGGCAUGCUGGAGGUAUCAGAAGUGCGAAUGCUGACAUAAGUAACGAUAAAGCGGGUGAAAAGCCCGCUCGCCGGAAGACCAAGGGUUCCUGUCCAACGUUAAUCGGGGCAGGGUGAGUCGACCCCUAAGGCGAGGCCGAAAGGCGUAGUCGAUGGGAAACAGGUUAAUAUUCCUGUACUUGGUGUUACUGCGAAGGGGGGACGGAGAAGGCUAUGUUGGCCGGGCGACGGUUGUCCCGGUUUAAGCGUGUAGGCUGGUUUUCCAGGCAAAUCCGGAAAAUCAAGGCUGAGGCGUGAUGACGAGGCACUACGGUGCUGAAGCAACAAAUGCCCUGCUUCCAGGAAAAGCCUCUAAGCAUCAGGUAACAUCAAAUCGUACCCCAAACCGACACAGGUGGUCAGGUAGAGAAUACCAAGGCGCUUGAGAGAACUCGGGUGAAGGAACUAGGCAAAAUGGUGCCGUAACUUCGGGAGAAGGCACGCUGAUAUGUAGGUGAAGUCCCUCGCGGAUGGAGCUGAAAUCAGUCGAAGAUACCAGCUGGCUGCAACUGUUUAUUAAAAACACAGCACUGUGCAAACACGAAAGUGGACGUAUACGGUGUGACGCCUGCCCGGUGCCGGAAGGUUAAUUGAUGGGGUCAGCGCAAGCGAAGCUCUUGAUCGAAGCCCCGGUAAACGGCGGCCGUAACUAUAACGGUCCUAAGGUAGCGAAAUUCCUUGUCGGGUAAGUUCCGACCUGCACGAAUGGCGUAAUGAUGGCCAGGCUGUCUCCACCCGAGACUCAGUGAAAUUGAACUCGCUGUGAAGAUGCAGUGUACCCGCGGCAAGACGGAAAGACCCCGUGAACCUUUACUAUAGCUUGACACUGAACAUUGAGCCUUGAUGUGUAGGAUAGGUGGGAGGCUUUGAAGUGUGGACGCCAGUCUGCAUGGAGCCGACCUUGAAAUACCACCCUUUAAUGUUUGAUGUUCUAACGUUGACCCGUAAUCCGGGUUGCGGACAGUGUCUGGUGGGUAGUUUGACUGGGGCGGUCUCCUCCUAAAGAGUAACGGAGGAGCACGAAGGUUGGCUAAUCCUGGUCGGACAUCAGGAGGUUAGUGCAAUGGCAUAAGCCAGCUUGACUGCGAGCGUGACGGCGCGAGCAGGUGCGAAAGCAGGUCAUAGUGAUCCGGUGGUUCUGAAUGGAAGGGCCAUCGCUCAACGGAUAAAAGGUACUCCGGGGAUAACAGGCUGAUACCGCCCAAGAGUUCAUAUCGACGGCGGUGUUUGGCACCUCGAUGUCGGCUCAUCACAUCCUGGGGCUGAAGUAGGUCCCAAGGGUAUGGCUGUUCGCCAUUUAAAGUGGUACGCGAGCUGGGUUUAGAACGUCGUGAGACAGUUCGGUCCCUAUCUGCCGUGGGCGCUGGAGAACUGAGGGGGGCUGCUCCUAGUACGAGAGGACCGGAGUGGACGCAUCACUGGUGUUCGGGUUGUCAUGCCAAUGGCACUGCCCGGUAGCUAAAUGCGGAAGAGAUAAGUGCUGAAAGCAUCUAAGCACGAAACUUGCCCCGAGAUGAGUUCUCCCUGACUCCUUGAGAGUCCUGAAGGAACGUUGAAGACGACGACGUUGAUAGGCCGGGUGUGUAAGCGCAGCGAUGCGUUGAGCUAACCGGUACUAAUGAACCGUGAGGCUUAACCUU
rnacentral:rRNA from 1 species